CUAGUCGGUGCUUGCAGAAUAUCCCGGAGAAAGCUUUUUUGGCUGGUACAUACCAGGCUUUCCUCAGGACAUCGCUGAUUUGUGACUUGGGUAGCAGUUUCUAUUGUUUCAUUUGUUGCUAAAUAAAAAGGUAUUGAAUAAUUUUCUUCCAGACUAGAAGCGUUGUAUUCACUUGAAGGAAACCAAUGCAGGAGUUCAACUGGCAACGUGAUGGAAAUUGAGAAAUUAAUUUGAACUAUAAAGAAGUAGGCAUGUAAAGUGGAGCAUUCUUACAGAUUUAGAUUAUUAAGUGCUCAGUUCUGCAGCAUAUGGUGGCUGAAAGGAGUGCAGAACCACUCUCAAACAGUUAAGUCAGCAGCAAAAACCCCUACUGUUAAAAUCCUACCAUCCAGAGGAAGGUCCAUUUACUGUCACAAAGCUGAAAGAAAUGUUACAGCACUAUUUCUGCUGGAUAUGGAUGAGGCUCUAAUCUCUCUUCAAGCAUCUUAUAUUGGUCAGUUGGACUGAGACUCCACAAACUUCCCUUAACUGCUUUGAAACUGAAAACAAUUACCAGCUUACAAGUUAGGGAAACUGCACAUGAAAAGUUCCUCUUACAGUUUAGCUAGAAUACAAAGCCUUGAAAAGAAAGCCCUUAAUGUGAAAUAAGAGGACAACAUCUUUUUUGGACUAGGUGCUGGAGUGGAUGCAGGGGCAGGUUGCUGCGAGCACAUAUCCCCUUGUGACUCCAGGAACAGAGUCACAGCAGUUCCAGGCAAAAAAGUGUCACAUUGCCUGGUCAAUGAUACCAUCAGCCCAGGCAGCUAGGUCAAAGGUUUGUGUUUGACAACAGUGAGUGCACCUUUUUCUUCUUAUUCCUGAAGGUAGUGGUUAUUACUUGAACAUAGAGCUGUGGCUUUUUGUCAAGAAAACUAGAGCAGCCUGCUGGUGAAAUGGUGCAAGUGUACACCAUUGUCUGCUUUGAUAUUGUAUGUAGAAAGCUGACCCCUUAAAUUACUUCAAAGAUGGCAAGAAACAUGAAGACCAUUUCUCUAAUGGUCUGUUCUUACUGAUAUUAUGAAAAAAGCUUAUUUGAGAUGUAUGUUUUCCUCUACCCUCGUAAAUUGUGAAGUUUCAGAAGACUGAUAGCCUUCACAGUCAGCUGUCCGUGAAAACUUUGUACCAGCAUCUCAAGCCAAAAUAACAGGAGGACUAUCAUAUUCAAAUGAACCAGAAAAGGAGAAAUAAUUCUAGGUCUAACUGGAUAAUCUUGCAAUUAAAUAUUUGAGUUGAAGGCUGAGGACACUGGUUUUGUCUAGGAGAAUCACAGUAGCAAUACAAUGUUGAUCUUAUCCCACCGAAAAAGGAAUUAUAUUUGACCAUAUACCACAGGUCCUGAAAAGAACUGUUGAAAAGACUAUUCAUGCUCAUUUAGGAUGUGCACAGGAUCAUUGCUGAUUCUCAAGACCACCUUGUUGUUAUUAUACCAAGUCUAGCUAAAUUCAGUGGUUUCCAGUCUGAAAGGUAGAAUUACCAGACUAGCUACCAUCAUGACUAUUUGUGAGCACAUGAUUGUCAUAUGAUUUGGAAAUUUGCACAGUUAUAUUCUGUACGUCUCCCUAUUUUCCAUACGGCUGCAAACUUCUAACAAGUCUUUGCUUCAUGUUACUUAAACUCCUAUAGAAGGUUCAUUAAACACAUGAAAACUCUUCUUAAGGCCUGGAGCCACUCCUGCAAUGACUAAGCCUUUCACCUCCACUUUUAUUGUUUUGAAGCAGAAAAUUAACUUGGGAGAAGCACAAAGAAAGUGAUCCUCCCUCACCAAGACUCAGGAUAUUUGUGGAAAGAAAUAUGAAAAACAAAGUAUUAACUCAUGGAGAAAAGCAGAAGCAUCUACAGCAGAGGAAUGUCAGGCCUUUAGAGACUGCACAAAAUCCAGAUCACAUCUGAAUGUAAAAAUGAAUGCUUUUACAAUUCAAGUCAGUGCCCAACUUUCUCUUAAAGGUAAAGCCUGUAUAACUGUCACUGGUGUACAAGAAGAAUAUCAACACCCUGUCUUCUAGUCAUCAAUUAGUAUUGUUACACAAUACUGUAAAAAAUGUAUUAUGAUCAUGAGUUGUUUCAAUAAAUGCAGAAAAGUUUCAAAUUAAGUUCUGCAAAUCUUCAGGUCUGCAGUCAUCAUCAACCAUCACCGACCACUUGAGGCAGCCGACUGUUGCCUGGAUUUUCCAUUUUAACAUGGCAUGCAUUAAACAUAGGGCAGACCACUCAUUCUGCCCUGCCUUUACGUAAGUGACACUGCAGGCGAGUUCAUCCUUGGAAAUAACACUGGCAGCAAAGUAUGGUCAAGAAACGCCACCUGCUGUCUCUUGGAUCACUGCUCCAAAAAGCUGCUGGGGUGCAAGGACAUGCACAAAAAUCACAUUGUCUUUUACUGGACGAAGAACAUUUGAAUAUGAUAAGGAGCAAUCCUUUUCCACACAAGAGGUCCCAAAAGAGGCCUCAGAUCCUCAUCUGAGCUACUUACUACAUAAGCAGCACUUCCUACAGAAUCUCUUGCAGUGAAACCUAGAGAAAAAAAUGUAGCAAUUCACUUUUAAAUGUAAAUGCCUUGGUUUUUUUCCAGAUUGUUAAAAAAAAA